CAGGGUGUUCCUCAGUGUCUCAGUACCUGAGGAGGUUCUAGAGCCUGUCUGGAGGCAGGAGGUUCCUCAGUGUCUCAGUACCUGGGGAGGUUCUAGAGGCAGGGUGUUCCUCAGUGUCUCAGUACCUGAGGAGGUUCUAGAGGCAGGGUGUUCCUCAGUGUCUCAGUACCUGGGGAGGUUCUAGAGGCAGCAGGUUCCUCAGUGUCUCAGUACCUGAGGAGGUUCUAGAGCCUGUCUGGAGGCAGGGUGUUCCUCAGUGUCUCAGUACCUGAGGGGGUUCUAGAGCCUGUCUGGAGGCAGGGUGUUCCUCAGUGUCUCAGU